CUUCUUCAUGUGUGGGCAGAUUAAUGCAUUUGGAUGAUGAAUAACACAGACAGCUUUCACAGAAGGACAUCAGGAACCACCAGGCUGUUCAGUAAAACACUCAUACAUGUAAUCCAGGUGGACUGUAGGGGGCGAUGUCACGCUGUAAGGACGCGCUUCCACUGAUCCUAAGAGGUGGAGCGAAGUGGUGGGAGAAGAAGUGAUGAUGUUUUUAAAGACUGCAGUUCUACAGGACUGAAGCAGUGUCAGUGCCCACAGUGUCUGAAAUCAUCUGAGAGGUCACAUCACAUCCACACAAAAUCCCCUCAAAUUAAUAAAUAUGACUUCCUGCACUUCCUCCUGUAACACCACGCUGGGGAACGAGCCGUUCUUACUGCAGUACUGCCACCAGGACCUAAUAAUCACUUCCUAUUUACACUGAGACGAAUAAAUUACAAUAAAAUAAUCAGAUAAUGAAGACUCA